rnacentral:rRNA from 1 species
GACGAACGCUGGCGGCGUGCCUAACACAUGCAAGUCGAACGGAAAGGCCCUGCUCUUGUGGGGUUCUCGAGUGGCGAACGGGGGAGUAACACGUGAGUAUCCUGCCCUUGACUGUGGGGUAACUUCAGGAAACAGGGGCUAAUAUCGGAUAGGAUCUCCUGCUGCACGGUGGGGGUUGGAGAGUUUCGGCGGUUGGGUCUGGACUCGCUGCAUAUGAGCUUGUUUGUCGGGUAGUGGCGUACCAAGGCUUUGACGGGUAGCCGGCCUGAGAGGGUGGCCGGCCACCUUGGGCCUGCGGUACGGCCCAGACUCCUACGGGCGGCAGCAGUGGGGAAUAUUGCACAGUGGGCGGAAGCCUGAUGUAGCAACGCCGCGUGCGGGAUGACGGCCUUCGGGUUGUAAACCGCUUUCGACUGUGACGAAGCGUGAGUGACGGUAAUGGGUAAAGAAGCACCGGCUAACUACGUG